AUUAAAACAAUUUUUUUUUUUUUUAAAUGGGAACUACCAAGAUGAGUUUAUAAAAUAUUAUCUUAUAUCUAUAACAUUAUAAGUCGAUGAGCCAAAAAAUAGAAGCAAACAUUUUAAAAAUUAUUAAAAUUACCAGUUUGAGAUGAUGAUGUGACCGGAAGGCAAAUGAAAAUUCCAGUAAAAAUAAAUGCGUUCCAACGUUUUUAGUUUUAGACGUCAUAACGAAGACACGGUAGCGUGUUGAAGAUGAAAUAUCUCUUUUAUUUUUUAAGUGACUGACAAAAAAUUCAAACGCCCUACAUUGUUAAAAGAAUUUAUGUGUAUUCUAAAUUCCUUAUAUUUUUAAUAUUUUAAUAUUUCAUUAUAAACUAGUAUAUACUUAA